rnacentral:rRNA from 1 species
GAUGAACGCUGGCGGCGUGCUUAACACAUGCAAGUCGAACGUGAUCCAUUAGCAAUAGUGGUGAAAGUGGCGAACGGGUGAGUAACACGUAGAUAACCUGCCCUGGAGUGGGGGAUAACCAUUGGAAACGAUGGCUAAUACCGCAUGAAUCUGUCCUUACGGGAGUGAGGGUAGAGAAAACUCUGGUGCUACAGGAGGGGUCUGCGUCCGAUUAGCUAGUUGGCGGGGUAAAGGCCCACCAAGGCGACGAUCGGUAGCUGGUCUGAGAGGACGAUCAGCCACACGGGAACUGAGACACGGUCCCGACUCCUACGGGGGGCAGCAGUGAGGAAUAUUGGGCAAUGGGCGAAAGCCUGACCCAGCAACGCCGCGUGGAGGAAGAAGGCCUUUGGGUUGUAAACUCCUUUUGACGGGGAAGAGGAAGGACGGUACCCGUCGAAUAAGUCACGGCUAACUACGUG